rnacentral:rRNA from 1 species
GGCACUACGGUGCUGAAGCAACAAAUGCCCUGCUUCCAGGAAAAGCCUCUAAGCAUCAGGUAACAUCAAAUCGUACCCCAAACCGACACAGGUGGUCAGGUAGAGAAUACCAAGGCGCUUGAGAGAACUCGGGUGAAGGAACUAGGCAAAAUGGUGCCGUAACUUCGGGAGAAGGCACGCUGAUAUGUAGGUGAAGUCCCUCGCGGAUGGAGCUGAAAUCAGUCGAAGAUACCAGCUGGCUGCAACUGUUUAUUAAAAACACAGCACUGUGCAAACACGAAAGUGGACGUAUACGGUGUGACGCCUGCCCGGUGCCGGAAGGUUAAUUGAUGGGGUUAGCGCAAGCGAAGCUCUUGAUCGAAGCCCCGGUAAACGGCGGCCGUAACUAUAACGGUCCUAAGGUAGCGAAAUUCCUUGUCGGGUAAGUUCCGACCUGCACGAAUGGCGUAAUGAUGGCCAGGCUGUCUCCACCCGAGACUCAGUGAAAUUGAACUCGCUGUGAAGAUGCAGUGUACCCGCGGCAAGACGGAAAGACCCCGUGAACCUUUACUAUAGCUUGACACUGAACAUUGAGCCUUGAUGUGUAGGAUAGGUGGGAGGCUUUGAAGUGUGGACGCCAGUCUGCAUGGAGCCGACCUUGAAAUACCACCCUUUAAUGUUUGAUGUUCUAACGUUGACCCGUAAUCCGGGUUGCGGACAGUGUCUGGUGGGUAGUUUGACUGGGGCGGUCUCCUCCUAAAGAGUAACGGAGGAGCACGAAGGUUGGCUAAUCCUGGUCGGACAUCAGGAGGUUAGUGCAAUGGCAUAAGCCAGCUUGACUGCGAGCGUGACGGCGCGAGCAGGUGCGAAAGCAGGUCAUAGUGAUCCGGUGGUUCUGAAUGGAAGGGCCAUCGCUCAACGGAUAAAAGGUACUCCGGGGAUAACAGGCUGAUACCGCCCAAGAGUUCAUAUCGACGGCGGUGUUUGGCACCUCGAUGUCGGCUCAUCACAUCCUGGGGCUGAAGUAGGUCCCAAGGGUAUGGCUGUUCGCCAUUUAAAGUGGUACGCGAGCUGGGUUUAGAACGUCGUGAGACAGUUCGGUCCCUAUCUGCCGUGGGCGCUGGAGAACUGAGGGGGGCUGCUCCUAGUACGAGAGGACCGGAGUGGACGCAUCACUGGUGUUCGGGUUGUCAUGCCAAUGGCACUGCCCGGUAGCUAAAUGCGGAAGAGAUAAGUGCUGAAAGCAUCUAAGCACGAAACUUGCCCCGAGAUGAGUUCUCCCUGACUCCUUGAGAGUCCUGAAGGAACGUUGAAGACGACGACGUUGAUAGGCCGGGUGUGUAAGCGCAGCGAUGCGUUGAGCUAACCGGUACUAAUGAACCGUGAGGCUUAACCUUACAACGCCGAAGCUGUU